rnacentral:lncRNA from 1 species
UUUUUAAAAACAAACAUACUGUAGAUUAUAUUUUUUAUGCAACCAAUUGCCUUGCCUUCUAAAUGUAACAUUGGUUCCUUUUGGCCUAAGAAAAAUGCUUUCUCCUAUUUAUAUAACAUUUAAAAAAUGAAAAGAUUCUAAAUGUCCUAGAGAAAGACUUUGGUAUUUGAAGAACUUCUAAUGUUGAAAAGUAUUGAACAUUAUAAUCAACUUAUGUUUACUUAUCUUCUUAAUUCAGUGUGGCAAAGACCAUUUCUUUCGCCCAGUAUGAUUGUAGAAAGAAUGAGUCUUUGUGGCACCUCCAUUAACAAUGGCAAGAUGGCUGAAUAG